AGCCGCAAUACGUGCUAAGGUAGCAUAAUCAUUUGUCCUUUAAAUGGGGACUAGAACAAACGAUUCAAUUUUUUAAUUAAUAUCUCUAAUAUAUAACAAACUUUUCUUAAAUGUAAAAAGACAUUUAUUUUAAAGAAAGACGACAAGACCCUAUUGAACUUAACUUGAGUUAAACUGGGGUAGUAAAUUAAUUAUUAUUUUAAUAUUAAACUAUUAAUAUAUAACUAUAUUAUAUAAUAAAUUCAGUUACCAUAGGGAUAACAGCGUAAUUAAAUUUUAGAGUUCUCAUCUAAAAAAUAGAUUACAACCUCGAUGUUGAAUUAAUAACCUUUUUUAAGAAAAUUUUUAAAAAGGAAGCCUGUUCGGCUUUUAAAAAAUUACAUGAUUUGAGUUCAAACCGGUGCAAGCCAGGUUGGUUUCUAUCUUCUAAAAAAUUUUUUACAGUACGAAAGGACCUAAUAAUAUUUAUUAUCUUUUAGCAAAAAAAUGCAUUAGAAUUAGAAUCUAAAUAAUCUACA
rnacentral:rRNA from 1 species